rnacentral:lncRNA from 1 species
UCAGAGGGACCAAACUUAAGUUGACUUGAGUUUAUCACCAUGCUGCAUAUCAUUAAUGUAGGAGCCAAACUUAAGUUGACUUGAGUUAAUCACCAUGCUGCAUAUCAUUAAUGUAGGAGCCACAGGUAAGUCUAGGUACUACCAAAUACAAACACAAAGAAUUUCAAACCUAUAGUAUUGAAUGUUGAGAGCAAUUUCUACAAUCAUACAAUUUAACGCUUUCUAUGUUUUUUUAAAUAACCGUCAACACUACAUCAUAUUACUCUAACCACUUAAGUGUAUUGCAUCUUUAGAUAUAAGCUUGAAAUGUAGCUCAUAUUACUCUAACCACUUAAUAAUAGCACAGGGGAACUUUUGAUGUACUAUCUAAGAGUAUGCUUGGUCAAUGCCUAAUUUUAAUAAAGUAUGACAUGUAAAUUAUCAUUUACUAACAAUGACUUGACAUUAGGCAAUCAAUCACACGAGGCAUACUUAGCCAUGAAGCUCAAGUGUUAGAGGCACUGAAUAAUGUCACCACAAAUACUUGUGAUCAAUUUUGCAAACUACCCCUUAAAUUUCAUAUUAUUAAAACAAUCAAAAUAUCGUGGCAAUAAGUCAAUCACCUUCCAAAUGAACUAUGGCUCACCUUCCAAUAAGUACAAUGUAGCUAGGGGUGGACAAAAAGCUCGGGCUCAUGAGCUCGGCUCAAAAACUAAACGAGCCGAGCCCAAACUACCUCCAUAGCUCAUUUGCAAAUCAAGCCGAGCCCGAGCUAGCCCGCUAGUCGCUCAGUAGGCUUGUCAAGCCAUGGAAAAACUGACAUGGCCCAUUAACAAGUUGUCUGGCCCAUGAGAAAUACGAAAACCCUAACCUAUUAUGCGCUUGCACAACACAAAGUUCCCUCCUCUUCUUGGCUUCCACCAAGACCAAGACAGUAGCACGACUAGGCGGCGAGAGGAAUUGCCGGCCACCGCGGCGCCGCCUCCUUCCCCUAUGUGGUUGUGUCGGCUUCCGCCUCCCUUCCCAAGCACCACCCUUUUUUGCUCGUUUUCUUUAUCAAGCCAAGCCAAGCAUGUUCUUGACCAAGCUUUCACAAUCCAAGCCGAGGCUCGUUUCCACCCCUAAAUUUAGCAUAUAAAGGCACCAAACCAAACAAACGCUAAAAAUUAGUGCAACACUAUUCUAAAUGAAAAUCUAGAAAACAUAGAACAUUGUCCAUCGGGGCAUAUGCAUUGCUACCAACUGCUCCUAAAGCUCUAUCAUCAAGGGCGACAAUAGUUGAUUGCCGAGUGCACAAAUGAUUGUCACAACUGCCACUACCCCCAAGGACCUCCAUUCUAGCGGUUUCCCUAACCUCAAGCAUGAGAACAUAUGGGCACAAUACUCCGUGGAAGUACAUCAAGUUCAAGGUGAAGACAGUCGAAGGCAUCUGAUGACUUAAGAAAACAUGGAAAAGUAGAAGACAUAAUAGGAAGGGGUCAUAAUGUCAUUUGGACUAAGUAGGGCUAAGCUAAUUAAGUUGUUUUUAGACAUACACGAUAGUUUUUAGGAGUAACAAAAAAGUUAGCUUAUUCAAUAUAAUUUAUGCUAUCAAAAAUUAACUAUAAUUGUAAGCAUCUUCCUAAUAUUCAAAAGAGUAAUUUUCAAAAUCCAUUUACACGUUAAACUAAAAAAAUCAAUCGUGUUCACAUCAUAGCCUUCCAACUCGAGCUAUUUCAUUAGACAAAUUAGCCCCUAAACUAUUUUUUGGCUCAUUUUACACUAUGAAUAAUUGGAGCACUUAGCCCUAAACUAUUUUCUAGCUCAUUUUACACUCUGAACUAUUGAAAAAGAUUCACUUAACUCGAACGCUUCUUCUAUUUUUGUUUCUCUCAAUAUUAGUCAUGGAAUUUUGAUAGGAUGAAACAUGUAUUACAACUUGUUUAAGUCUCAUCAUUUUGUUACAAUUUUUCAAACUAUUUACAUAGUUUGGAUUCAAACAUCAAUAUUUUAAUGUUCAAGUUGUGUCAUAUAUGGCUCUAAGAAUACAACAUGUAAUAAAACUUUGUAUUAAAAAUAACACCAAAGAGAAAUGUUUAUGAAGUAGUGAGGUGAACUAUUUUCAAUAAUUUAAGGAGUAAAAUGAGCCAAAAAAUAGUUUAACGAGUAAAAUGGAUGUUCUCAUUUUUAAAUCGACCAAGAUAUUAACUUUUGGACAUGUGUUUAACCAUUUGUCUCAAAUUGUGAAAAUAUACAAAAAUACAAAUAAUGCUUAAAGAAUGUUCAAUGAUAACACAAACCACAAUAAUAUAAAUAAUAAUGGCAUAUUUUUUGAAUAAGAUAAAAAUGAUCAAAUGUAUGCCCAAAAAUCAUGUUAUCUAUUAAAAAUAGAAGCGGUAUAACACAAUUUAAGAACUUGCAAGAUCCAUAAAUUUGCUAUGGUAUAUAGGUUGCCAUUUUUCCUAUUUUAAAAAUGAGUAAAGAGACAACCAGUUUCAAUGUUCAAGGUAAACAUACACUUCAAGAAUAACUUAAGGCCAAAAAUGACAUUACCUUUUUCAAAUGUAACAUAAAUUAUAGUCAGUGUUUGCAUUUCAAUGGUCAUGUCAAUAUCCAAAUAAAAAUUAAAGAUGGGCAUGAAUUAUUGAUGUCCUAACAUUGCCACAAGCUUGCAAAACCUAGCCAAAGGUGUCCACCAAAUUGAUAACCAUCUUGGGCAGGUUUUGACAAGAAAAUGGAUGCAUGACAUGGAUCCCUAGGAUAAAAAACUAAACCUAUGGCACACCACUAAUCUAGCAAUGAAACAAACACCCCUUAAGCAUGUCGGUAGAAUAACAUAUGGAGUUGUUUAGGGCUCCCUGGUAGCUACUGAACCCGGUUGCUUAUUUCCAUUGGUUACUUUGGUGUGAUAAAAGAUUUCCUAUAAUUAAGCAAGAUAAACAUUUUCCUCAUUGAAUAUGUUCCUUAACACUACACAGGAAUGCAACUAGUUGAUAGUGAUGUCAUCCCUCAUGCCAAGCACAUGACUUUAGGCCUAAUUGAUCAAAAUCCAAACUCCAAUCCAGAACUACCAAACCAAUCUAGACAAUUCAGGGCUUAUUUGGAAGGGGCUCAUUUGGAAGAUAGGAUAGGAAUAUGAAAGGAAACUAAAUUGAGUGGAAAAUAGAGGAAUACAACUUAUAAGAGCAUUCCGAUAGAUCACAGAAGUGUUUCAAGGUGCACAGUAAUUGGUUUUUACCCAUCAUCAUAAUCUACUCAACUACCCAACUGAAUGUGAACCGACGACAUGACCUCUAGGUGGCAAACAACUAUUAGCAAGCUCAACCCCAAACAAUGAAAGCAUGACCUCCAUUGCAGCAGAGCAAUAAGGCUGCAAGUAUUAAGGCAAAUUCAAUUAGCUAAGGCAAUCAACGAAAGCUUGAGCUUGCCACCAAGCGUCGAGUUGUAGUAGCCAAUGGCCCCUUAUUUGUUGCUUCUUCAUUUUGUAUUUCCCCUAUUAUUUUGCUAAUUUAAUUUCUUUUGAGAUGGCUCUUGUUCUAAUACUAUAUUGCCACCUACAUUAUUGCAUGAUUGAUUCAGUACUAUACGAAGGAAAUGAAAAGAGCUCGAGGUGGAUGGGAAGUUUCAUGGGUUUUUCCUAUGAAAUUAACACCGAAGGAAACUUUCCACUUGUUUUCUUCCUAACGAUUUAUUCUAUCCAAAAAAUAUGCCAUGAAAAUCCUUUGAUCCAAAGCCCAUAACAUAAGUGGGUCCAAUCCAUUCUAAACCCAUGGACUCGACGUAUAGCAAGAUCAUUGUUCUAGUGACCAAGGUCAUCAUCCUCACAUGGUCGAUGGCUCUAACAAGAAGAUGCACGGUAUGUAGCGCAAAAGCACAACAAUAGAUGGUGGAGAAAAUGAAGAUUGAGGAUGGCAGCUAGUAGAGAUAACGGCAGCAAGGAGUUACAAAGGUGCCACCACCACAAUCAUACUGCACAGUACAAUUGUAGGCGUACGUGAUCAGACAUUUCUAAAGCGCACGAUUGUCUCCAUGUUAAACCUCACAUGUUGAGGGGCAAAGCAUGACGUCCACCUAUUCUCCUUGUCCUAUGCAUCUCGUUUCCCAUUGACGCACCACCGAAGAAAUCUUCAUGCCACCCCUAAUGUGUUGGCAACAUUUUGUGUUCAAAAGGGCAGCGCUACACAAGCCAACAAAGAGAAGAGAAAGGUGGGAAGAGCUCGACAACGCCAAGUAAUCGUCAAAUAAUGUGGUGUUAGGUAGAAGACAAAGAGGGUUUAGGGAGUCUGGACAAUCCAAUGGAUUCACAUGGAUCAAAUAAAAUUUGAACACAAAAUAUCCAACCAAAGUCCAAAUUAAUCCAAUACAUAUUCCAUCUUCAUCCAACCUACGCCAACAUAUUUUUAUAUGAACCCAUUUCAACCCACUAUUAACGUCAAAAUUUGGUAGGAUUCUUUAAUGGAUUCAGUUAAGAGAACAAUCGGUAGAUGGAAUGUUUAUCCAGAAGAGUCCGAGUUCAAAAAAAAUCAUGAAGAUGCAUGGCAAUUUAAUUCUAUUUAUUAAUUAGGCAAGGUUUAGUACUUUUCCUUUAUCUUUAGGAAGUUUUAUGUCUUCGGUUAUCAAGACUAUGUUUCCUAUAGAAACAUAUUGAAUAUUGAACUAAGUCUAGCGUCCAGUCAGGGCUUGUAUGUUUCCUUUUGUCUUAAGGAAAGAUGUGUUAUGUCCGAUAUGAACUACUAUUUGCCCAUGGUAUAAAUGUGCACCUAGCGUCCCAGAUCAAUACAUCUACUCUUGGCAUGUCGCCACUGGUUUUUAUCACCACUCGAGGCCCUAAGUUCUGCCAGCAAUUGCAAUUGUAUGAGCUACAUUGGAGUUGUUCAAGAUGCAUCACUUAGAUCUCUUGGAUUGCUCUGGUUUGAAUAGUACAUUUGCCUACCUGAUAUUUGGUGUCAACACCCACCCAAAGCGAUCCAUAGGAAACUCCAGCCCACUAAAUCUUUUGUUCUUAGUCAUACCAACUAAAUCCCCACAGGUCAUCCAAAUUUUGAUCCUCCAUAUCUCUGUUUGAAUAACCACCCAAAAAGGGUUCACCAUCUAUAUUUGUUUCUGCUCCAACAGAUCAUCCAUAUAUAUAUCAACGCUGGAUAAAAAAACAUUACCUCUACUUAGAGUUUCUCUCAUCAUAUGGAUGAUGCCUAAAAUUAAAGAAUGUGUUGGGAGGAACUGCUGGGUCAAAUUUUUGACCAUCCAUCAUCCAUUUUGUAGAUAGAGUAUGAGCUACUGGGCAUGCCGUAAAGCAUUUCUCUUAGAUUAUUGGGACUUUGGGAGGGUAAGGAUGCAACUGCAACCAUUCGAAGAACAGUAACCACACCGAGAUCAACAGAAAACAUUAGCACCCCCGCCCCCGAAGUAACAAAUUCUACAGAUUAGUAAUGUUAGUAACUGGAGGACAGCAAAUGCAAACAAACGGGCCAUGGUGCGUCAUAGCAUCAGAUUCCAUCCACAGUUAGUUGUUGCCCAUCUCUUCCACCUCAAUCUGUGCAAAGGUUGCAGAUUGAACCUGUUUAAAUUUUCCCCACACCAAGGCUCGAUUCGAAUAUUUGAUAAUAAAAUCGAUUAAGAAAAUCACAUAACAUACCAUCGUACGAGUGCACACACAAAGCCCCAUGAUCCGUGCGACAAUAGCAUAGAUUAGAUGGCAAUGGCACCCUAACCAAGCAAACCAAUCGCUAACAAAAUACCCAAUCAAGCAUCACCAAUCAACCACACGGCCCUCUCACGAUCCAAACAACAGGAAUGCGGAUGCAGAGUUGCAGACACACCACAAGGAACGGCGACACUCUCACGAACAGCAUGAUUAAGCUUGCAUUCUAAAACCGAUCUGUGAAAAAAAAAAGACGUACUACUUGGGAAGAUCAAACGAUGGGAGAAGCACGCAUACCUUGCUUCGCCUCGCCGCCGCCACACCCGAACAGCCCCUGGGAGGAGCGGGAGACGAAGCGGCAGCAGAAAUCCGUCGACUCGAACUCCGGCCUUAAGAUACUGACGG